GAUGAACGCUGGCGGCGUGCCUAAUACAUGCAAGUCGAGCGAACAGAUGAGGAGCUUGCUCCUCUGACGUUAGCGGCGGACGGGUGAGUAACACGUGGAUAACCUACCUAUAAGACUGGGAUAACUUCGGGAAACCGGAGCUAAUACCGGAUAAUAUUUUGAACCGCAUGGUUCAAAAGUGAAAGACGGUCUUGCUGUCACGUAUAGAUGGAUCCGCGCUGCAUUAGCUAGUUGGUAAGGUAACGGCUUACCAAGGCAACGAUGCAUAGCCGACCUGAGAGGGUGAUCGGCCACACUGGUACUGAGACACGGUCCAGACUCCUACGGGAGGCAGCAGUAGGGAAUCUUCCGCAAUGGGCGAAAGCCUGACGGUACAACGCCGCGUGAGUGAUGAAGGUCUUCGGAUCGUAAAACUCUGUUAUUAGGGAAGAACAUAUGUGUAAGUAACUGUGCACAUCUUGACGGUACCUAAUCAGAAAGCCACGGCUAACUACGUG
rnacentral:rRNA from 1 species